CAAUAGCGUAUAUUAAAGUUGUUGCAGUUAAAAAGCUCGUAGUUGGAUUUCUGGGUCAAGCUCCUGGUCCGCCGCUAUGCGGUGCCGACUGUGUGUAGCGUUGAUUCAUCCUUGUGGGAAUUCCAGUUUGGGCUUCGUUGUCCGGCUGGCGGAACCGCAUCUUUUACUGUGAAAAAAUUAGAGUGUUCAAAGCAGGCUUACGCUGUGAAUACAUUAGCAUGGAAUAAUACGAUAGGACUUUGGUUCUAUUUUGUUGGUUGGAGACCAAGGUAAUGAUUAAUAGGGAUAGUUGGGGGUAUUCAUAUUUAAUUGUCAGAGGUGAAAUUCUUGGAUUUAUGAAAGAUGAACUUAUGCGAAAGCAUUUACCAAGGAUGUUUNCAUUA
rnacentral:rRNA from 1 species